CCAGUCGGGUCCUAAGUCGAGACUGAAAAGUGUAGACGAUGGCAAAUUGGUUAAUAUUCCAAUACCAACAUAUAAGCGCGAUGUGGGGACGCAUAGAGUUAAUCGAGCUCACUGAUGGAAUAGUAGGUCGAAGGACGUAGGUUGUUAAGUAGGCGAAUCCGCUUAACAUUAGACCGAGAUCUUACAGGCUCUUGACACUCUUCGGAGGAGAUGGAGAAUCGAUGAUACUGUCGUGCCAAGAAAAGCCACUAAGUUUAUUAUAUGUUGCCCGUACCGUAAACCGACACAGGUGGGUGGGAUGAGUAUUCUAAGGCGCGUGGAAGAACCCUCUUUAGGGAACUCUGCAGAAUAGCACCGUAUCUUCGGUAUAAGGUGUGCCUACUUUGGUAUAUGGACUUGCUCCAAAAAGCUAGAGAGGUUGCAACAAAGAGUCCCUCCCGACUGUUUACCAAAAACACAGCACUUUGCUAACACGUAAGUGGAUGUAUAAGGUGUGACGCCUGCCCGGUGCUCGAAGGUUAACUGAUGAUGUCAGCGCAAGCGAAGCAUUUGAUUGAAGCCCGAGUAAACGGCGGCCGUAACAAUAACGGUCCUAAGGUAGCGAAAUUCCUUGUCAGUUAAAUACUGACCUGCAUGAAUGGCGUAACGAGAUGGGAGCUGUCUCAAAGAGGGAUCCAGUGAAAUUGUAGUGGAGGUGAAAAUUCCUCCUACCCGCGGAAAGACGGAAAGACCCCGUGCACCUUUACUACAGCUUGACACUGUAGCUUGGAUAUUCAUGUGCAGGAUAGGUGGGAGGCUAUGAUGACUAGACGCAAGUAGAGUCGGAGCCAUCCUUGAGAUACCACCCUUGAAUAUUUGAGUUACUAACUGCGAUGAGUUAUCCUCAUUCAGGACAAUGUCUGGUGGGUAGUUUGACUGGGGCGGUCGCCUCCUAAAUAGUAGCGGAGGCUUACAAAGGUUAGUUCAAAGCGGUUGGAAAUCGCUUGUUGAGUAUAAUGGCAUAAACUAGCUUGACUGUGAGACCUACAAGUCGAACAGAGACGAAAGUCGGUCAUAGUGAUCCGGUGGUUCUGCGUGGAAGGGCCACCGCUCAAAGGAUAAAAGGUACGCCGGGGAUAACAGGCUGAUCUCCCCCAAGAGCUCACAUCGACGGGGAGGUUUGGCACCUCGAUGUCGGCUCAUCGCAUCCUGGGGCUGUAGUCGGUCCCAAGGGUAUGGCUGUUCGCCAUUUAAAGCGGUACGCGAGCUGGGUUCAGAACGUCGUGAGACAGUUCGGUCCCUAUCUUCCGUGGGCGUAGGAAAGUUGAAGAGAUUUGCCCCUAGUACGAGAGGACCGGGAUGAACCAACCACUGGUGUACCAAUUGUUCUGCCAAGAGCAUCGUUGGGUAGCCACGUUGGGAUGUGAUAAGAGCUG
rnacentral:rRNA from 1 species